rnacentral:rRNA from 1 species
UGCAGUCGAGCGGACAGAAGGGAGCUUGCUCCCGGAUGUUAGCGGCGGACGGGUGAGUAACACGUGGGUAACCUGCCUGUAAGACUGGGAUAACUCCGGGAAACCGGAGCUAAUACCGGAUAGUUCCUUGAACCGCAUGGUUCAAGGAUGAAAGACGGUUUCGGCUGUCACUUACAGAUGGACCCGCGGCGCAUUAGCUAGUUGGUGGGGUAAUGGCUCACCAAGGCGACGAUGCGUAGCCGACCUGAGAGGGUGAUCGGCCACACUGGGACUGAGACACGGCCCAGACUCCUACGGGAGGCAGCAGUAGGGAAUCUUCCGCAAUGGACGAAAGUCUGACGGAGCAACGCCGCGUGAGUGAUGAAGGUUUUCGGAUCGUAAAGCUCUGUUGUUAGGGAAGAACAAGUGCGAGAGUAACUGCUCGCACCUUGACGGUACCUAACCAGAAAGCCACGGCUAACUACGUGCCAGCAGCCGCGGUAAUACGUAGGUGGCAAGCGUUGUCCGGAAUUAUUGGGCGUAAAGGGCUCGCAGGCGGUUUCUUAAGUCUGAUGUGAAAGCCCCCGGCUCAACCGGGGAGGGUCAUUGGAAACUGGGAAACUUGAGUGCAGAAGAGGAGAGUGGAAUUCCACGUGUAGCGGUGAAAUGCGUAGAGAUGUGGAGGAACACCAGUGGCGAAGGCGACUCUCUGGUCUGUAACUGACGCUGAGGAGCGAAAGCGUGGGGGAGCGAACAGGAUU